CUCUCUUUCGCUGUUCUUCCCUUUUAAUCUUAGUUUGGUUGUGUUCUUCCACUCAAUUUUUCUGUUUCACUUUAUUGUUUUAGUCUAAUUUGGUUUCUAUCUGUCAACUUGUAUUUUUUUUUAGAGAUAUGGUAAUAACAAUAUGCCGAUGCCGAAAGCAAGGGCGGUGGAGUCAUGGAUGAUGGUGAAAGGAUAUACUCAAUAAGUUGCCGCCAACAGCUCACUACUUUUCUAUACAGAGUAUUUGUUGAUGUCACUCAUGAGAUGAAUAACGAAGAUGGAAUAAUACAAUCUUUCAUCUCUCUGUUCUGAGGGAUAGAUGUGUGGUAAUCCAUUUGACAACUUAUCAGUUCUCUCAAAGUUAUUAUAAUACUGGUAAAUUUAAUAGCUCUGAGAGAAGUUCUUGCACCUAACUGUGUUGUAUUAGGAUCACUAGGAUCUGAUACAACCAAAUCAAAGUCAUAACUUUAGAGUCUCGCACUGAUCUGGUAAUCUUCAGGUUAGCUGUUCUUCAUCCUUCUAGCAACAUCUUCUGAAACAUGCUUUCCUUUUUUCUCCCGUUAAAUCUUUUUCAAUUAAGGAUUUCGUGGUUUCUGAGUUUGAAAUUAGUCCUCAAAGGGAUUUCUGGGAGAAAAUCCUCAAACUGCAAACUGUGAGCAUUCUUGGAGUUUCAGACGGCGGAAUGGGAAUAUACUGAGGUAUAACCCCUUGAAUUUCUAUCUUUUAUAUAAAGGAUUUCGGUAUUUUUGGUUCCACCAUUUUAUUUUAUUGUUAAGUCGAAGGCCGAUUAUCUUAAAAUUUAGAAAUAUAACCUCCUUGAAAUUUUUAAUUUUGUUUUUGAGGUCGGUAUCACAAGUGGAAAUUUUAUAAUGCUGAUCGAAAUUUUUUGAGGUAUAACCCCUUUGAAAUUUGCCUAGGUGUGCCCUUUUUUCCUCUUAUUCUCUGACUUUGUUCUUUUUCUUCUUUUAGGGGUCGUAUGGUAGCUGGUUAGAGUUAUGCAGCUCUUCAUCUCUGGAGAAGCUGGAAUUAAGCAAUACAUAACUCAACUUUGCGGGAGGAAAGUACUUGACUAUGUUGGAGUUUCAACUUUGGGCAAGGUGAAUGUGGUGGCUAGCUAGAGGAAGUAGAAAUGGCUAACAAGGUGGAUCAUGAGUAUGAUUAUUUAUUUAAGAUUAUUUUGAUUGGAGAUUCAGGAGUCGGAAAAUCUAACAUUCUCUCCAGAUUUACGUGAAAUGUAUCCUGUUUGGAGUCUAAAUCCACCAUUGGCAUCGAUUUUGCAACUAGGACCCUUCAGGUCGAAGGGAAGACUGUAAAUGCACAAAUAUGUGACAACAGUAAGGCAAGAAAGGUACAGAGCCAUAACCAGUGCUUAUUACAAAUUAAAGGAGAUGUGGGAGCACUCUUGGUCUAUGACAUAACCAAGAGACAAAAUUUUGAAAAUGUGCACCUAUGGCUCCGCGAGCUCAGGCAUCAUGAGCACCUUCAAAUACAUAAACACAUAGGCACAAGUGGAUAUACACGUACACAUGAAGCACACACUUUAGAUAUUGCUCUCUUUUCCUUUAGCUUCAAACAACUAUUUUACCGAAUUAAAGCAUACUAUGUUACUGGCUUGCGGUCAAGGCGCAAGCCAAUAAAUUAUUCACAUGCUCUUCAAAAAUUACCUUACACAAUUUUUUCAGGUUUCUGGUUUGUGAACUUCUGAA